AGUGAACGCUGGCGGUAGGCCUAACACAUGCAAGUCGAACGGCAGCACAGUAAGAGCUUGCUCUUACGGGUGGCGAGUGGCGGACGGGUGAGGAAUACAUCGGAAUCUACUUUUUCGUGGGGGAUAACGUAGGGAAACUUACGCUAAUACCGCAUACGACCUACGGGUGAAAGCAGGGGAUCUUCGGACCUUGCGCGAUUGAAUGAGCCGAUGUCGGAUUAGCUAGUUGGCGGGGUAAAGGCCCACCAAGGCGACGAUCCGUAGCUGGUCUGAGAGGAUGAUCAGCCACACUGGAAUUGAGACACGGUCCAGACUCCUACGGGAGGCAGCAGUGGGGAAUAUUGGACAAUGGGCGCAAUCCUGAUCCAGCCAUACCGCGUGGGUGAAGAAGGCCUUCGGGUUGUAAAGCCCUUUUGUUGGGAAAGAAAAGCAGCAGGUUAAUACCCCGCUGUUCUGACGGUACCCAAAGAAUAAGCACCGGCUAACUUCGUG
rnacentral:rRNA from 1 species